CUUCCUGUCUCUCUGUCCCUCCCCCGAAUGCAGGCGUGCUCUCUCCCUCUCUCUCGCAAAAUAAAAAGAAAUUACUAAAGUACUACCUCACGCUAUGCUUCCAUAUUGAAUACGCUGGUAAAAAGUACGGUCCCCUCCGGCUGCCCUUUGCCGCCGCAAAACCCCCAGGGCCCCUCUGUUGGGACAGAGCGGCCCCUCUGCAGCCAUCUGUAAGGAAAGGGGGCUGGCGGUCGCUGGUGCCCGCCACGUGCCCACCGAGCGGACGUGGGUUAAUUCACUGCACAUCACCCACUGAGGAGGCCGGUGGCGAGCUGAAAGGGUGACCUGAGUCAUCCCUGGUCACGUGGCUAGUGAAGGUGGAGCCAACCUUGGUCACGUGGCUAGCGAGGGUGGGGCCAAGAGGCCACGCGGUUGACUUGCUGAGGAGCCAGUUUAUGGGCAGGUCACCUGACCAGAUGGGAGGUUACAGACCAGCCUAAAGAGCUGGGAGAAGAACCACGUGAUCACGUCCACACCCGCCAACAAGGCAUUUGACAAAAUUCAGCUCCCGGUUGAUGCUGGCUAUAAACCACAAACCACAGGUGCUCGUGCCUGGCUCCAGCUUUGAUGGUGGAGGCAUCUACUCCAAAGACGUCUCUCCGGUAAACACACGACCGGCCACGGAACUGGGUCCUGUAAGUAAGAAAUCUUUAUUUCAAAGUUCCCUGACGGUUGUCACUGAAGGACAUCUGCCACCAGAUGCGAGAACCAGGCGGGCCCGUCCAACCACAGCACUGGUUACUGUUCGGCCGAGACCAGCGCACAACAAUGACCCCGUCUGACCUUAUCUCCAAACGCCAUCACAAUCUAAGUUAAAGAGCAAUAGUUAAUUCCGGAAGCUGGACUCCGUGCCGAGACUAAAUCGCCGCAUUCCCCACCCUUCGAUGUAGUUGGGGGGUAGCCACGUGAUCAAACCCCGGACAAAGAAAUUAAAAAGAAAGGAUGGGAGUGACACGGGGACACACGUCUUUUAUAGUGGCUUCUUCCUCCGGACACCUGGGUGGCUCGGCCGGUGUCCGGCUCAGGUCAUGAUCUCAAGGUCUGUGAAUUUGAGCCCCUCAUCGGACUCUCUGCUGACAGUGCAGCGUUCGUUUCUGAGUCACUGUCUCCCUCUCUCUCUGCCCCUCCCCCACUCGUUCUCCCCCCCCCCCGCCCCUCAAAUAAAAAAUAAACAUAAAAAUAAAGUGA